rnacentral:lncRNA from 1 species
UCUGAUACCAACUUAAUCUGUUACGCCCCAGAUUACACAAUUCUCGGGCACGUCGACAAAUCUGCCGUAUACAAAGAAUUUUUCCUAUAUACGAAGCGUAUCGGUAACUGAAAAUAUACAACACUACAACCAGUAGUAUAGAGCUGUAAAGAAACCAAACAGGUAGGAUAAAACAAGUCUCACAUACAUACAACAAAACGCUAUACAAAGGUACUCGCUCCAACGAGUUAUAACAACUGUAUGUACAUGAACUCAACAAAAUAAACCGGAACUACCUGCAGUGGUGGAUCCUCUAUCUC